AGAGUUUGAUCCUGGCUCAGGACGAACGCUGGCGGCGUGCCUAAUACAUGCAAGUCGAGCGGAGUUUCCGCGGCGGAAGCCUUCGGGCGGAAGACGCGGAGACUUAGCGGCGGACGGGUGAGUAACACGUGGGCAACCUGCCCGGAAGACCGGGAUAACAUCCGGAAACGGAUGCUAAUACCGGAUAGGCGGACUCCUCGCAUGAGGGGAUCGGGAAAGGCGGGGCAACCUGCCGCUUCCGGAUGGGCCUGCGGCGCAUUAGCUAGUAGGUAGGGUAACGGCCUACCUAGGCGACGAUGCGUAGCCGACCUGAGAGGGUGAACGGCCACACUGGGACAGAGACACGGCCCAGACUCCUACGGGAGGCAGCAGUAGGGAAUCUUCCGCAAUGGGCGAAAGCCUGACGGAGCAACGCCGCGUGAGUGAGGAAGGUCUUCGGAUCGUAAAGCUCUGUUGCCAGGGAAGAAGUCUUGGGAGAGUAAC
rnacentral:rRNA from 1 species